GUUAAAUUUGUGCUUCAGGUAAGCAGCUGAUAAUUUUUUAGUUUAAGUAUGUCACGUGUAAUAUUUGAGACAUACUUGUACUAAAAUCUAUGGGUUGUUGUUUGAAGUGCAAAUUUGACU
rnacentral:miRNA from 1 species